GUGCAAUGGGUUAUGGGGAUUUACAGUCUCUAAGUUUAUCCAUGAGCCCCAGUUCUCAGUCCAGCUGCAACGCAGAUAUCACCUAAUGGAUUAGAAUGAAACGUUGGUGUUGGUGCUUAGAACAGGAAGAAGGGAAAAAGAAAGAGGUAAAAUGCAGCAUCCGGGUCUAGAAUUUUUGACCCAACCCAAAUGACCAUUUUCGUUUUGGAUGAUUGGUGGGUCAGGUUGCAGGCCUUGGGGUCUAUUGGGUUAAAAAAAAAAAUGGCAUGUUUAUGCCCAUUGGCAAUUAAAAUCUGGUACUCUAUUAUAGCCCAGUUUCGAGUUCCUUGUGGCGCUGGAAUUUAUCUUUUGUUCAUCUCUCUCUUGCUCAUAGUUAAGAUCUCUCUUUAGCUCUCAGUCAUUUUCAUUUCUUCUGAGUUCACAUUUUCAUUCUUUCUGCUGGAAUUUAUCUUUUAUUCAUCUCUCUCCUGCUCACAGGUAAGAUCUCUCUUUAUCUCUCCGUCAUUUUUGUUUCAUUUGAGUUCACAUUGUUUUUGUUUCUAUUUCCUUUAUAUCUUCAAUUUGUUUCCAUUUCUUUCAUUAUCUCUGCAAACCUAAGAAUGACUUUCAUUUAUUAUCUUUUUACUAGUUUCUCUUCUGCUUAUAUAGUUUAUCUAUACUUGAUUUUCUCUAGCAGUGAUACCUUAGGUAUAUUCUUUAUUUUUAUUCAGUGAUUUCUUCUAUGUCAUUGAUGACUAGUGCAACAAGUUGUUAUAUUGUUUUCCGUAUCUGAAAUAUGUUACUAGCAAAUGUAGAUUCUGUAUUCAUGAUAUUUUUGUAAAAUCUCUGCAAGCAAAGAGUUACUUUUUAAGCAUUCAUAAAAGUUAUUUGUAUAAUCUUUUGCAGAAGCAUGAGCACACUUUUGAGUUUUCGUUUCUUCUGAGUCCACAUUUUUGUUCUUUUUAUUUUCUUUAUAUCUCCAGUUUGUUUAUAUUUCUUUCAUUAUCUCUGCAAACCUAGGGCUCGGAUGACUUUUAUUUAUUUUCUUUUUACUAGUUUCUCUUUUGCUUAUAGAGAUUUAUCUAUACUUGAUUUUUCCUAGUAGUGAUACCUUAGGUAUAUUCUUUAUUUUUAUUCAGUGAUUUCUUCUGUCAUUGGAUGACUAGUGCAACAAGUUGUUUUGUUGUUUUUCAUUUAUGAAAUAUGUUACUAGCAAAGGCAGAUUCUAUAUUCAUGAUAUUUUUGCAAAAUCUUUGUUUGCAAGCAAAGAGUUACCUUUUAAGCAUUUAUAACAAAUAUUUGUAAAUUCUUUUGCAGUAGCAUGAGUACACUUUUGAGUUUUUUCUCCAAAUGCAUGAAUUAGUUUAUAUUUUUUUUGACAAUAAUGGUUGUACUUUUUUAUUUUUUAUUUUUUUAAAUCUCAGAUUUAUAUAACCAUGCUACCUGAAGAUGCUGAGUGCAUACUAAAUACAGAGGAUCCAGACAUUUCUGAUAAUAAUCACGUAUUUUUUCAUGUUCAUAUCCCCGAUCCUUUUAAGCCUACAUAUAAGCAACUAAUAGAAGAGUACUUGAUGCCUAGAAAAGCCAGAGAGCCGCUUCGUACUACAUUCAUAACAGAAGCAGACAUGUAUCGUUACAAUCCCAUUGAGCUUACAAGAGCUGGAGUAAAGCGACGAAGAUUAGAGACGAGAGCUGAAUGAUCGACUGUGCAGAGAAAGUUUUAAGAUGUGAAAAAGUACACUGUUUUUGUUUUUCACGUGCAUACAAAUAGUUUAAAUGUAGUUCAAGCAAGCAAUAGACCAAAAAGACAGAACAAUUAAGCUAAAAGAAAAAUGAUAAAUAAAAAUAUUCUGUGACACUUUCUUCUUCUUCUUCAAGUACUGCAUAUUUGAUUAUUUACGGUAGAUAUGUCCUUCCCAAUGUGACCAAUCUGAGUCCAAAUGCAUGAUAGUUUGUUAUCAUGAAGUGAAAUUUCAAUAGGCUGAUAUCCUACAUAUGAAAAAGGGAUUGGUUUGAAAACUUGGAGGGUAAUUGUUUAGUUUAUUUAUUUAUUUAUAAAUAGACUUGAUUCAGGUAUGCCAUGCUUUAAUUUGAGAUUUUUAAUAAUAAUUCUGUUUUCUUCGCUUUUGAAAGGACAAAGUAUAGAUGAUUUGGAAAAGAGAAUUUAGGUUGUAGUUGCUGCAUGCAAGUCGUUGCUAAAAUUGACUUUUUUCCUCUUUGUACAUGGUUCAAGUUAUUAAAAUUAAUUUUCUGGUUGUUUUCAGUCUUCAGAGAACAAAGAAUCGCAAGAAAAAGUGAAUAUUUUUUUAACAUCAUCAAUGUCUUUAGAACAUUGUGUGUCUGAUGAAUAUAUAUAAUAUAUAUUGAUGAGCUGAGACAGAAAUUCAGUCUCGGGUGAUUACUCGGCACUUAUUUUGGAUCAAGUGUUUUUGGAUGUUGGUGGGUUAAAGUAUUCUGCUAUAACUGAAAUCACAUUCAUGUAUUAGUUUAUUUUCCUUGGCUUGCACACAUGCAUAUCUUCUCUUAUGGUAAAUUCCUUAUUUUGAAUGUUUCUUCCUCUCUCUUUUUUUGACUAACUUAUAAAAUCAAUACGAUCUUCAAGCUGCUUGUUCUUUCACUAGGGGUUAAACUCUAGUUGUCCCAGUGGAACUCUCUUUUCUCCCAGAAGAAAAAGCCCAACUGAAAGGUUCCAUGUAUCUUCUCCUGAUAGACUGAUAUAUGCAUAUAAUAUGUUCUUAAAA